GUUGAACGCUGGCGGCAGGCCUAACACAUGCAAGUCGAACGGUAACAGGAAGACGCUUGCUUCUUUGCUGACGAGUGGCGGACGGGUGAGUAAUGUCUGGGAAACUGCCUGAUGGAGGGGGAUAACUACUGGAAACGGUAGCUAAUACCGCAUAACGUCGCAAGACCAAAGAGGGGGACCUUCGGGCCUCUUGCCAUCGGAUGUGCCCAGAUGGGAUUAGCUAGUAGGUGGGGUAACGGCUCACCUAGGCGACGAUCCCUAGCUGGUCUGAGAGGAUGACCAGCCACACUGGAACUGAGACACGGUCCAGACUCCUACGGGAGGCAGCAGUGGGGAAUAUUGCACAAUGGGCGCAAGCCUGAUGCAGCCAUGCCGCGUGUAUGAAGAAGGCCUUCGGGUUGUAAAGUACUUUCAGCGGGGAGGAAGGGAGUAAAGUUAAUACCUUUGCUCAUUGACGUUACCCGCAGAAGAAGCACCGGCUAACUCCGUG
rnacentral:rRNA from 1 species